AGGACGAACGCUGGCGGCGUGCUUAACACAUGCAAGUCGAACGAACUUCCGCCCUUCGGGACAGAAGUGAGUGGCGAACGGGUGAGUAACACGUGAGCAACCUGCCCUUGACUCUGGAAUAACAGCUGGAAACAGCUGCUAAUACCGGAUACGACCUUCGAUGGCAUCAUCCGAAGGUGGAAAGCUCCGACGGUCAAGGAUGGGCUCGCGGCCUAUCAGCUUGUUGGUGAGGUAACGGCUCACCAAGGCUUCGAC
rnacentral:rRNA from 1 species